rnacentral:lncRNA from 1 species
UUACCGUCCUUCUUCGCAACCGGAGAAGAUCGGCCUUUAACAACAGAUAAAACCCUAGGUAUUAACCCUAGGAGUAACCGUCAAAACUUUACCGCAAAUACCGUCAAUGAUGUCGCAACAGUACCAACAAUAACCAAAACCUCAGCAAAAUGAGUAUCAGACCACCGGAUGGCAAUCAAACAACCGAUUUGACCACCAGAAAACCCUAGAGGUUGAAAACUCA